AGGCAUUCAGCGACGUUUCGCUUCGCACGGCCCCUCGCUCCACUCCAGCCCCAUCCUUUCCACACCCGGCCUCCUGUAAAUCUCUCUCGGCAUCGGGCGAUCCCUAGGCGGCGUCGCCGCCGCCACCGCCCCGUCACCGCUGCCACGAGCAUGCCUUCCCCCGUAAGCCACCUGCUCUUGGUUCUUGGCGGCAGCACAAGAUCACAAGAGGAGGGUAGGGUGCUGUGGCGGCAUACGAGCGCAAGAGGAGAAACGGGCCCUUUGCAUCUAUGGAAGACGGCGCUUCCAUCUUCACCCAGCCAGCGUCGCGACCCAUCUUCUCUUACCUUUCCACGGGCUAAGUAGUGGGAUCCAGAUCAGAAGAAGGCCCUUCACGAAGUUUAGGAAGAAGCCUUAUCUGUGUAACAGGCGGAGGUUGGAGUAGGGGAGGAGGAGAUCAUGUGCAAAUAAUCAUAAUUUUCCCUGAUGUGCAUUACGUAGAACCUGUACUAUCAACACCUGUACCGUGAGGCAGGCACAAGGUGCGGCCUAUCCUCGCAUGCAGAGGUUUUACCUUGUUAAAUUCUAUACAAUUAUGCAGAACCUAUAGCCCAUGAAUGACACACUUUGUUUGGACAUGUAUAUGUUGGUUAUCCCUUAAUGUAGUUUCAGAGUUAGGAGUUUACCAUCACACUAUUUUUAGGCAAAGACUAAUCCUCUCAUGCAGAGAUUUUACAUUGUUAAAUUCUAAGUGAUGAAGGCACUCCGGCGGCGGGUACAUGUUGGACACUCACGAUGAGCCGACCAACUGCAGGAACAGGAAGGCGAUGGUGAACGAGUCGCCACCGCCAUCGCAGGUCCUGAACCAGUGGAUCACCUUCUGCGCUGACAACUCCCUGAGUGAGCGCGUCAGCGAAUGGCUGAGAAGCGUCGAGUGCGAGUGCGUCCGUGAGGAUGAGUAAGACGGUGGUGAUGACCAGUUCUUCCACCAAGCAAUUGCAUUGUCCCGGUGUUCUCUUAUUCCAAAAAAACAUUGCAUACAAGUGAUGUUCAUGCUGGCUGUGGUCAACUGAUUUUGGCAGAUUAUUGAGCUUGGUGAUCUAUUUAUUUGAUUAUGCAUGACUGUGCGAUCAGUACCAAAAGAACAGACAUACUGACAAUGUGUAUCUUCAGUAACUGAUGAGUGAUGCUUACUUACGUAUACUGUUUCAGAUUUGGAGCCGGAACAAGAUUUGUUGUCUUUGGUUAUAGACUAACCGGACUUGCCAAUGGGCUUCUGGAAUUGAAUAUUAGCAAGGGCAGCCUUGAAGAUACUCAGACGAUCUUAACUUGUGGCUCUUUUUUCUUUUUGCUUGACUGCAGUAUCUUCUCAUUUCUUAUGCCAUAAUCAAAUAUUAUUGAGAGCUUGCCAAAUAAAUAGACCAUGGGCUAAUGAAAAGUAUUCAAAUGCUUAUGUACUGACCACAUCAGGACAUUUACACUUAAAGAGAUUCGGGUCUGUUUACUGAAGCUUGUCAGUCUCACUCUUUGCUAUUGCUAAUGAUUUUUUGAUAAUAAUUAAUUGUAAAAUAGCUGCCAGUGCAUCUAUAAUGAAUCAUCAAUUGCCAUGACAUCAAUAAUAAUUGUCAGGACCUUGAAUUUCCUGCCAAAACGCGUUAAUUUCUUUUAUGAUGACUACUUAUGCUAUUAUCACUAGAGAGGGUGGACAAAGUGGGACGUGCGACAUAUGACUUCACAUAUCACCUUCACAAGCAAUCAUAAUAUACGUUCCAAACAGAAUAUGUGUGAACAAUAUGAACGGUAGUAGAUAUGUGUCCCAUAAUAUAUGUCCCAUAAGCCUCCUAGAUACUCUUGUUCCUGUGCCUCUGCCGUUUCUUACUACUAGCAUUAAAUAAAAUCUGUAGCUAGAAUUGCCUAAAGUACAAUUCAUGUUUCAGUUACGGUUUAUGCAUCUUGGCCAUGUUCCAAACUUUCUAACGAUAGAGGCAGAGUAUGCUUUGUAAAAAAAGGAUUAUCAUCACAAAAUUUCUUGACACCUAAUGUUAUAUAUUUUGAACAUACGAAACCCAAUCUUUCAUUUGUAGUUUGCAUACUAACAACAUCCAUUGCUAUAUGUCUCACCAUAUCAGUAGUUGAAUCUUCAUUUUGUUUUUGUGUCAAAACUGCUUCAGUACUUCUCACUUUGUAUGCAAAGGGGAAAUGGUUUCUUAGUUCAUUUAUGAGAAACAAUAAUUUACAUUCUGGAAAUGUUUUGAGUAAAUCCAAAACAGUCAUUUAAUGGCAUUGUCUGUAUUGUCAGUUGUGUCGUUGGAGACUUGAAAAUGUAUACAAAUGUAUCAGUCUCUCUUUUCUUUAAGGUUGUAUGUGGCCGCAUAUGUGGC